UUACAAACUGGACCAAUUUCAACAGAAGUGAACUGGUCCAGAGAGAUUCUAGUGGUUAAAAAACUAUCCUGACAAACAGAACUGAGUCCCUAUUCUGAGCUGGGUAAAUAGAAGUAACUUUUCAUCAAACAUGUGGAGCUGCAUGUCUUUAUGCUUCAAAUAGUUCUAUCCUUAGGCAAUGAGCAUGACAUAAGGCAUAAUUCAGUAAUCCAUUCUCCUCAGUUGCCCUAUCUGUGAGAUUCUUGAGACACAAAGGACUGUGGCU